rnacentral:rRNA from 1 species
CACGUAGGGCGCGAGCGUUGUCCGGAAUUAUUGGGCGUAAAGAGCUCGUAGGCGGUCUGUCGCGUCUGCUGUGAAAUCCCGAGGCUCAACCUCGGGCUUGCAGUGGGUACGGGCAGGCUAGAGUGCGGUAGGGGAGAAUGGAACUCCUGGUGUAGCGGUGGAAUGCGCAGAUAUCAGGAAGAACACCGAUGGCGAAGGCAGUUCUCUGGGCCGUAACUGGACGCUGAGGAGCGAAAGCGUGGGGAGCGAACAGG